rnacentral:rRNA from 1 species
UACCAGCACCCCGAGUGGUCGGGACGAUUAUUGGGCCUAAAGCAUCCGUAGCCGGUUCUACAAGUCUUCCGUUAAAUCCACCUGCUUAACAGAUGGGCUGCGGAGGAUACUAUAGAGCUAGGAGGCGGGAGAGGCAAGCGGUACUCAGUGGGUAGGGGUAAAAUCCUCUGAUCCAUUGAAGACCACCAGUGGCGAAGGCGGCUUGCCAAUACGCGCUCGACGGUGAGGGAUGAAAGCUGGGGGAGCAAACCGG